AUUGAACGCUGGCGGCAUGCUUUACACAUGCAAGUCGAACGGCAGCACGAAAGAGCUUGCUCUUUUGGUGGCGAGUGGCGAGCGGGUGAGUAAUGCAUCGGAACGUACCGAGUAAUGGGGGAUAACUGUCCGAAAGGAUAGCUAAUACCGCAUACGCUUUGAGAAGGAAAGUGGGGGCUCUUCGGACCUCACGUUAUUCGAGCGGCCGAUGUCUGAUUAGCUAGUUGGUGGGGUAAAGGCCUACCAAGGCGACGAUCAGUAGCGGGUCUGAGAGGAUGAUCCGCCACACUGGGACUGAGACACGGCCCAGACUCCUACGGGAGGCAGCAGUGGGGAAUUUUGGACAAUGGGCGCAAGCCUGAUCCAGCCAUGCCGCGUGUCUGAAGAAGGCCCUCGGGUUGUAAAGGACUUUUGUUAGGGAAGAAAAGGAUAGUGUUAAUACCAUUAUCUGCUGACGGUACCUAAAGAAUAAGCACCGGCUAACUACGUG
rnacentral:rRNA from 1 species